rnacentral:rRNA from 1 species
AUUGAACGCUGGCGGCAGGCCUAACACAUGCAAGUCGAGCGGAUGAAGGGAGCUUGCUCCUGGAUUCAGCGGCGGACGGGUGAGUAAUGCCUAGGAAUCUGCCUGGUAGUGGGGGAUAACGUCCGGAAACGGGCGCUAAUACCGCAUACGUCCUGAGGGAGAAAGUGGGGGAUCUUCGGACCUCACGCUAUCAGAUGAGCCUAGGUCGGAUUAGCUAGUUGGUGGGGUAAAGGCCUACCAAGGCGACGAUCCGUAACUGGUCUGAGAGGAUGAUCAGUCACACGGGAACUGAGACACGGUCCAGACUCCUACGGGAGGCAGCAGUGGGGAAUAUUGGACAGUGGGCGAAAGCCUGAUCCAGCCAUGCCGCGUGUGUGAAGAAGGUCUUCGGAUUGUAAAGCACUUUAAGUUGGGAGGAAGGGCAGUAAGUUAAUACCUUGCUGUUUUGACGUUACCAACAGAAUAAGCACCGGCUAACUUCGUG